GAAACUGUUGACCAUCUAUUUCUAUUUCUAAAUUAUUGUUAUGCUAACUCAGUUUUGGCUGUGGGUUUUAGGAUGGGUGGGAGUACAAGUAGGUGUUCCCACACAAGCUGAACAUGCAGUUGGCCAUUGGAAGAUUGAAGGAGUUGGAAAGAAAGGAAAGUUUGUAUGGAAAGUUGUUAAAGCUACUGGGAGCUAUGGAAAGAACACAACAUAAGAGUUUUCGAAAAUAUUAAGCCGAACAUUGAAUUAAAUGAAAAAAUAUGGAUAUCUGUGGCAGAUUGGCUAGAGUAGUGGGGGGUGUCUACACUGGAUCUUAUGUAUAAUCUUCAUGUACUUGUGAAGGAAAAGACAUUGAUGGUGGGUCUCUGGCAAUUACCUGAUGAGGGAUGGAUUAAAUUAAACCUUCAAUGGGUAAUCUAGGCCCUGUUAGAAUAGGCGGUAUUAUUAGGGAUUGUUUGGGUAAUGUCUUGCUGAAAUAUUACGGGCCUGUGGGCAGUCUGACUGCGAAUGACGCAGAGUUGAAAGCUUUGCUUCAAGGUAUUAAGUUUGCAAAAAGAUUCAAUAAGCCCUGUUGUCGUGGAAGGAGAUUCAAUGAAUGUCAUUAAAUAGAUGAAGAAGGAAGCAGAGUAUCCAUGGUCUCUACAUGAACGGGUUCAGGAGGCAUCUUUGAUCUGUUCUGGAAAUGGUAGUGUCUCUGACAUAUGCGUAUAGAAAGUGUAAUAUGGAGGCAGAUCGUCUGGCGAAAGAUGGAGUUGUGCCGAAGGUCCCAUUGUUAUAUAGGUUGCUGGUCUCAGAUGUUUUUCUGCAAUUUUGAUGUAAAAUUUGUCUUUUACUUUUAUUUUGUGGUUUGUUACAUGGGCCUGAUUGGCGUCUGAAUCUUUGUAACUG
rnacentral:lncRNA from 1 species